rnacentral:rRNA from 1 species
AUUGAACGCUGGCGGCAUGCCUUACACAUGCAAGUCGAACGGUAACAGGUCUUCGGAUGCUGACGAGUGGCGAACGGGUGAGUAAUACAUCGGAACGUGCCUAGUAGUGGGGGAUAACUACUCGAAAGAGUGGCUAAUACCGCAUGAGAUCUACGGAUGAAAGCAGGGGAUCGCAAGACCUUGUGCUACUAGAGCGGCCGAUGGCAGAUUAGGUAGUUGGUGGGAUAAAAGCUUACCAAGCCGACGAUCUGUAGCUGGUCUGAGAGGACGAUCAGCCAGACUGGGACUGAGACACGGCCCAGACUCCUACGGGAGGCAGCAGUGGGGAAUUUUGGACAAUGUGCGCAAGCCUGAUCCAGCAAUGCCGCGUGCAGGAUGAAGGCCUUCGGGUUGUAAACUGCUUUUGUACGGAACGAAAAGCCCUGGGUUAAUACCCUGGGGUCAUGACGGUACCGUAAGAAUAAGCACCGGCUAACUACGUGCCAGCCGCCGCGGUAAGAC